rnacentral:rRNA from 1 species
GACGAACGCUGGCGGCGUGCCUAAUACAUGCAAGUCGAGCGAUGAGACGUGGUGCUUGCUCCUCUUUCGUUAGCGGCGGACGGGUGAGUAACGCGUGGGGAACCUACCUUUAAGACGGGGAUAACUUCUGGAAACCAAUGCUAAUACCGCAUAAUAUCUUUAACCACAAGGUUUAAUAUUGAAAGAUGGUAUUGCUUUCACUUAAAAAGGUCUCCGGGCUUCAUUAGCUAGUUGGUAAGUUAACGGCUUACCAGGGGAAGGUACAGUAGCCACCCGAGAAGGGUGACCGGCACAACUGGACCUGAGCCACGGCCAAGCCUCCAAGGGGAGGAAGCAGUAGGAAAUCCUCCGCAAUGGGCGAAGGCCUGCCGGAGCAACGCCGCGUGAGUAAGGAAGGUCUUCGGAUCUUAAACCUCUGUUAUUAGGGAAGACCAAAGGUGUAAGUAAAUAUGCACGUCUUGACGGUAACUAAUCAGAAAGCCACGGCUAACUACGUG